AUACAGAGGGUGCAAGCGUUAAUCGGAUUUACUGGGCGUAAAGCGCGCGUAGGCGGCUAAUUAAGUCAAAUGGGAAAUCCCCGAGCUUAACUUGGGAAUUGCAUUCGAUACUGGUUAGCUAGAGUGUGGGAGAGGAUGGUAGAAUUCCAGGUGUAGCGGUGAAAUGCGUAGAGAUCUGGAGGAAUACCGAUGGCGAAGGCAGCCAUCUGGCCUAACACUGACGCUGAGGUGCGAAAGCAUGGGGAGCAAACAGGAUUAGAUACCCCAGUAGUCC
rnacentral:rRNA from 1 species